ACAAUAUGUUGUAAGUCUGUGGUGAGAUAACAGGAUCUAGUGGCCCCACUAAACAUAAAUGAGUUAUUUCACAUCAUCCUUCUACUUAUCAGUUAGUUUAGAAACAGAGCCUCCCAAACAUCUGCUAGCUUGGGAUACUCCUUGUCUGCCCAUCCUGAAAUAAAUUUUGCAGGAAGGUCACACUGGUCUAAAUCUUUGCCAGCUAUCAGAGAAAAUACAGAUAUGGCUGGUUUCAGCUACUUUUGUGAUUACUGGGGCAUCCAACUGUGCCAAAGGUGAAAAGUGCACCGUGAGGAAGACUGCUUACUUCAUCUUGAAGCCCCCUGCCCACAACCAUCAGAGGGCAGUGCACAAGUGCCAAAAGGGAGGAGACUUAUGAUAAUGAGUACCUAAACUAAUUGUAAUAUCCCCCCGAACUCUCGGGAACCUAAUGAAUAUGCAUGUUUGUGUGUAAUAAAUAUCUGCUUGCUUAACCCCCUGGAGUGCAGGUUAGGAGGAGUGAUUCCCCUUGCACCCAGUGCCGUAAUAAAUAUACCUGCUUUAUAACUCUC